rnacentral:lncRNA from 1 species
UCAAAGAACAACCAGAGCAUCCAUUCUGGUGGAUGAGCCAACCACAUGGCCAGCUUCUGGGUGUGGGCACAGUGCCACAUCUUCCAUCACUUUCUGAUAUAUCCCAACACCACUGAAGAGACAGCCUGGAGAGAGUGCAAGAGGAAGGCUGAGAAGGAUGAGAUGGUGAGUGCUGGCUUCUUUCUGACCCUCAGCACACCCCCACGUGGUGACCAUCAACCUUUAGGGGUGGGAGAGCAAGACUGAUGGCUUCAAAUACUUCCCCAAGAAGAUGGGCACAGGCCACUCAGCUCAACCUCACAGGCAAUGAGUUGACAUGCAAGCAGAUGACAGUGACAGGCUUUUAGAAAGAGCUUCAGAAGGCGGCCAGUUUUUCUUCAGCCUCAGCCAGGCCUUGGAACUUGACUAGGCCAUCCACUUCACCAGAGAUGCCUUCAAGAACAUCAGUGAGCUCCUUGCCAAUCCGUCCAGGAAGGACCUGGACCCAGCCACGGACCUGUUAGUGCUGUCUCAGGGACACCAGACCAACAUCCUGGACAUCAUCCUCAUACACAAG